CUUUUGAAGAAAAUGCUUUAAUAAAAUAUGAUAAAAUUAAUUGUAAUAAAAUGACUUCUACAAUUUGGCGCUCUCCAUACCGUAAAUUGAUUACUGAUUCCAACCACAUUCGAACUGGCAUCGGUGGCUUUGAUGGCACAGGAAUAAGGAUAUGUCCAAAAUACACAUCACGAACCUACACUGCGUGAACACAGAUAUUGCAACGAGAUUACAAUUGAAGAAACACUUCGGGAUUUUCACGUUGGGAGCGAAGAUAGAAAAAUCGUUGCUGUCUGAAAAUAUUGCAGCAAAAUUAAACAGCAGCGAAAUCGCAGGUAUCAACACAAGCGAAAUAAACUGAAGUCUUAUUCUUUAAUCUGCAAAAACUGACCUUUUUGUGCUUGAGUACAUUGGUCCAGGGUGCAGUGGUAUGGUAAAGAGCUGAAAAAACAUGGGUUUGCCGUGCAUGGUGGUGUGCAAGUGGCGCAUGUUGGACAUCCCGGCGAUCCCGCUGUGC